rnacentral:rRNA from 1 species
UACAGAGGGGGCAAGCGUUGUUCGGAAUUACUGGGCGUAAAGGGCGCGUAGGCGGCCUGUUAAGUCGAACGUGAAAUCCCCGGGCUCAACCCGGGAACUGCGUCCGAUACUGGCAGGCUUGAAUCCGGGGAGAGGGAUGCGGAAUUCCAGGUGUAGCGGUGAAAUGCGUAGAUAUCUGGAGGAACACCGGUGGCGAAGGCGCAUCCUGGACCGGCAUUGACGCUGAGGCGCGA